rnacentral:pre_miRNA from 1 species
GUAGUACUCCUUCCGUUCCAAAUUACUUGUAGUAGGUAUAAAUGUUUCUAGAUGUAUUUUAGUUCUAGAUACAUUCAUUUCUGCGACGAGUAAUUUAGAACAGAGGGAGUAAGUU